AUUGAACGCUGGCGGCAUGCCUUACACAUGCAAGUCGAACGGCAGCACGGGAGCAAUCCUGGUGGCGAGUGGCGAACGGGUGAGUAAUAUAUCGGAACGUGCCCAGUAGUGGGGGAUAGCCCGGCGAAAGCCGGAUUAAUACCGCAUACGACCUGAGGGUGAAAGCGGGGGAUCGCAAGACCUCGCGCUAUUGGAGCGGCCGAUAUCAGAUUAGCUUGUUGGUGGGGUAAAAGCCUACCAAGGCGACGAUCUGUAGCUGGUCUGAGAGGACGACCAGCCACACUGGGACUGAGACACGGCCCAGACUCCUACGGGAGGCAGCAGUGGGGAGUUUUGGACAAUGGGCGCGAGCCUGAUCCAGCCAUGCCGCGUGCGGGAAGAAGGCCUUCGGGUUGUAAACCGCUUUUGUCAGGGAAGAAACGGCUCUUGAUAAUACCGAGAGCUAAUGACGGUACCUGAAGAAUAAGCACCGGCUAACUACGUGCCAGCCGCCGCAGUAA
rnacentral:rRNA from 1 species